CUCACCCUCUCGCCCACAGCCCCGCCCGUGAACCCUAGCGCUCCCUUGCAGCUGUCUUCCCACACCGCUCCAGAUCCAGAUCCGCCGCCUCGCCGCCUCCCUUCAGACCCAUCGCCGCCGCCACCUCCCCUCCUCUCCUCACGCAACGGAGAGAGAGAGGCAUUGCCGCCUCCACACAAAGAGAAACACACUAACUCUGCUCCCCGGGUCCCUCCACUCCAGCCGAGAAACCGCUGCCGCCGCCCACCGGAGCCGGAGAUGAAGAAGAUCUUCGGUGCUAAGAAAAGCAGGGACCCGCCGCCCACCAUCCAGGACGCCUCAAGGAGUUGGCGCGGUACAAGGAGCAGAUCCGCAAGGCCUGGCCGGGCCCCUCGCAGGAGGCCAUCAAGGCUCGCGCCAUCAGGCUCCUCAAGCACAAGCGCAUGUACGAGGAGCAGCGCAACCUCGACCAGGUCGGCUUCGCCGCCGACGGCCUCAAGGACGUGCAGCUAACCGAUGGCGCCUGAGGAGGGGGUGCUCGACCAUGGCUGCUGCUGGGGAUGCAUCAGCCAUGUAUCUUACUCUCUGGCUGUAGGUGACCAACACCGAGGGGCUGCCUCUCGUGUACAGCCCCGAGAUCAUUUCGGCCUACUGGGGCAAACGCCCAGGCGCCGUCGCCACCCGAGCGGUGAAGCUCUUGUCCGUGGCCGGUGGUUUCAUCUCCCACAUCAUAUCAGACCUCAUCACCGACAAAAUCAAGGAGAGCAAAGUGGCGCGCGCAAUCGAGAUGAGAGAGAUUGUCAUGUCUCUGGGCCCUACCUACGUCAAGCUCAGCCAGGCGCCGAGCAUCCGACCCGAUAUUCUGCCCCCUGCGGCGAUGACCAAGCUUCAGAAGCUAUGUGACAAGGUUCCUUCGUUCCCUAACGAUAUCACGAUGGCUCUCCUGGAAGAAGAGAAUUGUCUCCCUCCCGAUUGCUGCAGGAGGCUGCAGAGGCCUACCUGGUGGGUCUCUUCGAGGACACCAACCUGUGCGCCGUCCAUGCCAAGCGCGUGACCAUCAUACCCAAGGACAUUCAACUAGCUAGGAGGAUCCAUGGCGAGAGGGCUUAAGGUGCUUGCUUUGCCUGUGGGAAUGGCUCUGGCGGGCAUCUGUGUCUGCUUUUGCUGCUGAACACUUAUCAUGUGUCGCGAACUACUAAUACUGGUCGUGUGUAGUAAUAUGUCAGUGCCGUACUCUGUGCCAUACUAUGUUCGUAGAGCUAGAUCAUUUGUUUGUUGGUCGUCCUAAAUCAUCCACCUGGUUGGUGCUUAUCUGAACCUUGCAUUUUAUGUCUGAAAAUUAGUGAUUGUGUGAACCAUUAUUAUUUUCCUUUUGUCUCAUUUAUUUGUAUCUCUGCCAUGCAAGUUUGUGUUCAUCGAUAGUGUUUUUGAUUCCUGUCAAUCUGUGCUAGUAGCCGUCUUUGUUUAGCCAACCAUAGACCUGAAGCUGUGCUACCCAAACGAGCUAGUCUUAUAAGUUCGCUAUGGAAAUUAGAGUGCUCUGUAAUAUGUCUGGAGAUUAGAAAAUGUUCAGGUAAAUGAAACUGUUUGAUAGAGCUGUACUGUGAAGUUUGAGGAUCACAGUACAGUACUACUAGUAGAUAACAGGAGCAUAACAAUGUAGUGUUGUACUGUGAAAGUCUCAUAUUUUCCUUUUGAAGUUUGUAGUACAUUCAUGUUAAUUACUUAUGAUGUGAAUCCGAUGUUAAAUGUUGGUGCUUUCUGGAAGAGUAAAAGUAAUAACCUUGCUAGUGGACAUGUAAACUGCAAAGCUGGUACUGUGAGUCUAAAAUCUUUGGAUUUAUAUAUCGGUUACUGUAGUUUCAGAUGCAAUUUUUUUUGAUUGGUGGAUUAGAAUGAUUGACACAACCAUGUGAUCCGUUAUCAGGUUGCGGAUUGGUGCUGUUGGCCUCAACAGGGCACCUUGCACUACCCGUGUAAGUGCGUUUGAGAAGGCAGUGAGGUUGUUCACGGAAAAGCCGACGGAUAAUGUAAUCACUCUAGUGCUGGAAACGGUGAGGAUCACAAGGUGAAGAUGAGGUGCUGGUAUGGUCAUGGAGCUCAAGGCCUAAUUUUUUUCCUUUAUGUUCACUCUUUUACUGGAGCUAGAGUCCUGAUUUUUUUGAGUGUGAAGCCGUGAAGCCAAGUGCGAAGCAGUGAAGCUGUACUUUGCAAAGUGUUUUUUUGGCUUUGUAGUAGAUUGUAAAAGGCUAAUGUAGUGUAAAAGGCUAAUGUAGUGUUAUUUGACGAACUAUAUUUGUUCUAUCCAUGUUGAAAUAGUGGCUGUUUGAAAUAGUGGUUAUGUAUGUUGAGAAGAUAUGUAAACUUCACUAGUGGGACCCACUUAUGAAUAUAAUCUGAGCAAUUUUGAAA